AAAUAGAGCAAUGGCUCGACCAGUGAAACUUAGAGUAAUUUUAGCUGAUGAUGAUGCCAGGAAGUUGAUCCUGCCUGAAGGGCUUCCUAGUACUACUGAGGACCUUGCACAAAAAAUCACUGAAAUGUUCCAGCUUGAUGGGGAUAUCCGCUUGCAAUAUCAAGAUGACGAUUUUGGUGGUGAGUUUGUGAAUUUAACAACAAUUACUGAUGUUCAAGAUAAAGGAACCUUAAAGGUCAUCAUCAAGACUACAGGACAAAACCAGAGUGCAGCAUCAACUCCUGCUCGCUUAAUGCUGUGCCAGGCAGACGACUCUGUAUCUGUAUCUUCAUUUGAAACUGACGACACUGUUCUUCUUUCUUCUCCUGAUGGGUCAGUGCAAUCCACAACAAGAUCUACUCCAUGGCCACUUGUAUUCCCAAUUCCACGCUUCUCCUAUGACUCUGAAAUAAUUCUACAGCAAGCUAAUACUGAAUACCAUGAGAACGGAAAUCGUCUCAAUCCGUCUCCAAAGCUGAAGUCACACAUUCUAGAAGUCCUAGCUGAGGAAAUCAUAAAAUACAAAGCAUAUCCAACUGAUCUAGACCUUAACACAGUGGCAGAAGCAUUAAUUAAUAAACACCCUUGCUUGCGAGAACAAGGCUCCUACAAUGGUUGCUAUGGGUGGAAAAUAAGCCUCAAAUAUAAGAUGGCAAACUUUCGUACUAAGCUCAGAAGUGUUGGGUGUUCAGAAGUAAGCAUAAACUCAAUGAAGAACAAACGCCAAGAUCAGUACCAUGCUGCUUCAAACAUUAAAAAGCCUAGAAGAGCCGAAGUAAAUUACUGCCCUCAACAUCCAAAGGGAGAAACGUCUGAAAGUUUAGAGAGGGAACGAGUCGAUCUUUUGGCUGCGAUUAAGAAGAGAAACAAUGACAAAUUAGUCAAAGAGAAGAUGGAGUGAACCUUUUCUUACAGAAGACAGGAAGUGGUUCAGGAGAAGCCGAUGAUAGCGGAUUUCAAAAGUCGAUGGCCAGCUCUUUUUAAUGUUGAUGAAAUAAAUACUGAGUUCUUGCGCAUCACCACUGUCCCAUUGGAAUUUAACUUUCUUGCUAUGCUUGACCAGUAUUCGGACAGCUUGAUGAAGUUGUUUCAGAGUAAGGGUGGAGUCACUGGCAGAACAAUUAAAAACAUCAUGCAACCCAUUUCACAGAAUAACAGCAUAGAUGUGCGAAGAGAAUGCAUCCUCAAAGCACUGUGUGUUUACUUAAAUGAGGACCAUUUACAGCUGUUCAAGGAGUACAAUGAUUGCGACUGGGUGAAUGCCAAAGAAGCCAUAGAGCAGAUGGUAAUGGGGAUCUACAUCAUCCGAUCCGAAGGACACCAUCCAGGGGAUAAGCCUGUGGACGUUGGUAUCGUGAUUGAAGGGACUGAAGUUCUCUGCUCUUUGAAAAAUGUAGCUGUAGCAGUGGCCAUGCUGUUUGGACUUACUUACGCAUUGAACCUCAGCUACCCACGAGAACUCAAAGCUACAUUUGAGGUCAUCCAGAAAGUGUUGUUUAACUUGGAUGGACAAAAACUUUCACCAAAGGUACAAGCCCUCAAGAACAAGAUGCUGGAGUAAGUUCCUUUACGUUUGAAGUCUCAAAAGACGAAAUCUUGAUUCAAGAAGUUAGUAGCUGUGGCCUGCCCAUUGCUGUUGCAGUAUGCCCACUGUUUGUUUAGUGUUUGACAUGUUUUUGUCAAAACCUUUAAAAUGCAGGGAACUUUAAAACUGCUGUUUGAUCUAAUUGAUCUUGUCAAUCUUUUAACUUUUUUAUUAUUUUUAUCUUGUUCUAAGAUAUACUAGCUUUCAAAUUGUAGCUCAAAACUAAGCACAUGUUGGUGUUUUUGUAUUUCUCACAGUAUUAAAAUUGAAUUGUCAGUUUUGCAUCGACAGUGGUUGACAAUUACUUGCAAAAGCAGGAUUUUUUUUUGGGAUGGUAGUUAAAAAAAAAUAUUUUCUAAAGUAUCCGUCAACUUGUAUCUCAACAUUGUUUUUGUUGAUUGUUUAUCAGAUUUUUUUUUGUCUUAAAAUUUGGCAAUGGUAAAAUGUUUUAGAGGAAAAAUUUCCUUGAAAUAAGA